rnacentral:RNase_P_RNA from 1 species
CGGGGGGCUCGGCAAACCCCACCCGGUGCAAGACCAAAUAGAGGGGCGUUCGAGGGUGACCCGCCCAAGCCCCCGGGUAGGUCGCACGAGGUGCCGGGCAACCGGCAUCCCAGAGGAAUGACCACCGCCCGGUCCGGGGUGACCCGGCCCGGGAACAGAAUUCGGCUUACGGGCUGCUCCGGCCG